AUGGAUAUAGCACCGGCUGUGUAUGGUAGAAAGAAGGGAGUUCAUCCAAAUGGUGGUAGGCGAAGCUAUAUUUCAAAGUGGUUCCCUGAGAACAAAAAAGAGUUUGGCCAAAGGAAAGAAGAUGACAAGCAAGUAAGAGUUGGUUGCAGUCCCGAGUGGCCUCCCUCUGGUGUACAAUGGUAUUCAUUGAUGAAUUUUUGUCGAUUUGUGACAGGAACAUGUGAAGAGAUGGAAAGAAGAAUCAACUCGUCUUCAUUCUGGAUUCGACUCACAGCUUCUGCCACUUGGUUGCUUUUACCUGCUUUUGUAAUGGCAUACAUUUCUCGAAUAUAG